UACGAAGGGGGCUAGCGUUGCUCGGAAUCACUGGCGUAAAGCGCACGUAGGCGGACUCUUAAGUCGGUGGUGAAAUCCUGGAGCUCAACUCCAGAACUGCCUUCGAUACUGAGAGUCUCGAGUCCGGGAGAGGUGAGUGGAACUGCGAGUGUAGAGGUGAAAUUCGUAGAUAUUCGCAAGACACCAGUGGCGAAGGCGGCUCAGCCUGGCCCGGUGACC
rnacentral:rRNA from 1 species